UAAACCUCCGACCAUCUCUCUCAGCCUCAUCUCCCUCUUCCCCUUCCUGGAUCGACGCCCCUUCCUUCUUCCCCUUCCUGGAUCAACGCCUCUUCCUCUCCCGAGCAGGAUCAAAACCACCUGCUUCGAUCCUAAGCAAAAUCACAGCAUAAAUCGUUCCGUUCUGCCUCCUCGUCCGAUCCUCUCUUCCUCCUCCUUCCUCUCUUCGCUCUUCCCGGCUAAGGUAGGGGCCGACGAGAUCCGAACAGCGAGAGGACGCCCACGACCACCAUUGCACAGUUGGUCGGUAACGUGAGGGAAUCCGAAGGAAGAAAGAACAACACCGAGAUCCAGGAGCUUGCUUGCUUUGCCGUCGACGAGCACAACAAGAAACAGAAUGUGCUUUUGGAGUUUGCGCGUGUUGUGAAGGCGAGGGAGCAAGUUGUCGCUGGAACUCUGCAUCACUUGACGGUGGAGGCAGUUGAGGGAGGGGAGAAGAAGAUUGAUGGAAUCGCUAUUUUGGUGCCGUUAUUUUGGUGUUCAUUAUUGUGCCGUUAUUUUGGUAUGUCGAAAUCAUUAAUCUGGUCCCUGCGCUACUGUGAGCUGAGUCCUGGUGACGACCUAGGACACGAAUCGGGUCUCCGAGGUUGGAAGACCUCCGCCGCAAGGAAGGGAGCGAACUGCCGAAGCCCGAGCUACAUCGCCGCCAAGCCCAUCCUCCGGCAGCUUCCUCACAGGCGGCUCUUCUAAAUUCCGAAGACCUUCGUACAUCCUGACUCUCAUCCUCCUGAUUUGCCAAAGGAGGCGUUGCAUGCCCCCGCCUCCGCUGAAGUAGCACCGCCUGAGUCGAACCCUUACAUCGCUCACUCACCCGCCACUAACUCUUCCUCGUCGACAACGGAGACUGUGAAGACCGUGUUUAAGAGAUGGGGAAAAAACUCAUGGAGUCGGCGAAGAAAGCUGAGGACUUGUCUAAAAAUACAUGGCAGCAUCUGAACACAGGACCAAGUUUUGUUGAAGCUACCAUGGGAAGAAUUGCUCAAGGAACCAAAGUGAUUGGAAAAGGUGGCUACGAUAAGAUAUUUUGACAAACUUUUGAUACCCUUCCUGAAGAACAACUAAAAAAAUCCUAUGCCUGUUAUUUAUCAACAUCUGCUGGUCUGAAUGGAGUUAUUAUAAGCUGAAUAUGAUUCUUUUACUUCAUUUGUAACUGCAAAUUCAACUUUCUGAUACCUUGUGAACCACUGAAGAUCCUUAUUGCAAGCAUUGAAGUGAUUGAAGAGUUUGCUAAGAGUCCAUGUUUGGAGCACUACAAGAACCUUGGAGCAACUUAACAUUUCGAAUAAGAUGUAGUAGGAGCAUAUAGAGCCUGCGUUGUGUACUCUUAGUGAUAAACAGUUCCCAGGAAUGAUAGAUCUAUCACUAUAUGAUGUGGUUGAGAUAAUUGAUGAAUGUUUCUCUUUUUAAGUAUUCCAAUUAGUCAUCUUGUUACCUGGUGCUCUU